rnacentral:tRNA from 1 species
GCGGAUGUAGCCAAGUGGAUCAAGGCAGUGGAUUGUGAAUCACCU